rnacentral:lncRNA from 1 species
AGGACCGGUCAACUUGUUUUCUGUUCUUCAUUUUAUCUGCAUCCUGAGGCUCAAUUACUUCAGCAGCCUUCUCAUCAUCAGUAGCUUUCACUUCAGUAUUCGCUUUUGCAUCUACUCUCUCUUCACAGUCUGAUGAUGAUGAAGUAGGUGAUUUAGAUGCUGAAUGCUGACCUGGCAAAGCUUCAGAGUAUUCAGGGUAUAGUCGUUCAUCCUGAGUAGUUAGGGCUAGAUCAGUUUUAUCUUUUUGUUCCAUAUUUGCAGCUGGAAUUUGACCAUUCUCCAUUGGUGGAACUGCAGCAGUGGAUGCAGGAGCACAGGUAAAGCCUGUGUGCAGAGGAGCACAUAUAGGAAGCAGUCCAUGGGCGGUCCACCAUGCAGUGGCAGCUGCUACUGUUGCAGCAGCAAUUGCGGCCAUACUAGGAGCAGAGUUCAUUUGUGUAGAUGGGAAACCUCUUAGUUCAUUUGCAGGAGAAUCGCCAGAACUUUCAAUGUUUGCAUAUGGCCAAAAUGUAGCUGCAAAACUUGCUGCAGCAUGAGCAGCUGGAUUCUGUAACAAAGUAGAUACAAUGAGAUUGGAAAAAGUGGAGCUGACAUGUAGAAAGGAUCGAUACUCCUCUUGAUCGGGCCGAAGAUGUAUAAAGGGAGUAUGAAAAGGUGGCAAUGCCUGAUGAGUAGAUUUUGGUGCAUUAUUCUUAUGUUCAGUAGUUGCUGAUGCAGCUGGAUUUGCAAACAGGUUAGGUCCAUGAACAUUGCCCGUAGGGUGAAAUACAGAAUCUUGAAAUGACAUACCCAGGGAAGGAUUUUGAACACAUGUUCUAAGGCUUCCAUCUAGGACAUGCACAGCAACAUGCCGAGGAUAAUUUUGAGCAGCUUGCAUCUCAUCUGCACAAAAAUCACCAUCCAAAUCAUCUUUUCUCUGGCCUUGAGCUGAUUUCUCAUAUGAAGUGCAAGACUUCUCCAAGUUUGAAGCCUUACUUGUACCAUUAUCAUGAAAUGUCUGUUGGACAUUAAGUUUAUAAGGUUCACAAAUUUCUUUAAGUUCAAGAAUAACAUAGAAUUCAUGUUUUUCAUGAUUUACUACCUCUUUUGGCAAAGGUACAAACUCCCUGAAUGUACAAGAGCUUUUGAGUGCAGUUGACAUUGGUAUAAAAUUCUUAUUCAUGGAAGACGCAGAGGAGCAGUUUUGUUCGUGGAGAAGGGUAAAAACCUCAGAGCAACUCUGGUCUUGAUUUUCUUUCAGGUUUGUAGCCUUUUCAUCUCCAGUAGGUCUCUGACAAACACAAUAUAUUUGAAGCUUACGUUAAAAAGGAGAAAAGAAAAAGAACAUAAUUAAGAGCAUGAAUAAAGUAGUUGAGGAGGAGAAAGAAACCUCCGGAAGUGGUUCUUUCUCCAAGUCCAACAUUUGCUUGCAACGCAAAGAAGAUAAUGGCAUUUCAGAUUUUCCAUCCUUAGCUCCCUCUUGUACUGUAGUAGCAGCACCAGUUUUUCGAGGAUAAGGAUUGCUUGGUUUUCUUUUAGGGCGUGGAGGUGGAAUCUCUAUGUCAAGAGCUUGACCUAUUGGUACACCUUUAGCAAGUGCCUCCUUCUCCAACUGAGAAUGGAUUAUUGUCAGUAGCAUCAAUAAAAUGAUAAAACAUAAGAGAAAUCUUACGAGUUUUUGGAGGCACCAAUGAAGCAUCAAUAUAAUAUUAACAAUGUGCAACACUAAAAUUAAUGAUAGGAAUGACAUAACUAAAUGCAACAUGAUCAUAUCUAACCAGUAUAAUUCCAAAUAUUAUCAGGAAACAAGAAGUCCAAGUAUAUAAUUGCUCUACAAUCUACAAAUAUCUCACACAGGAGGUUCAUACAAAAUUUUAUACUCCUGUUGUCAAUUAAUAUGGCCUGUUUUAUAACAUUAGAUUAGAUUAGAUUCUUCUUUUAUCCUUUCAUCCCAUAACAUGUCUGCUCAAGACUCGUCAGCAAUAUAAUACUUGAAUGUAGCAGACAUAAACACAGCCCACAGUUGAACAUAUACAUAGACAAAGAUUGACUAAAUAAAAAAGGGGGGGCUGGUUUAGCCGAGCAGUCAGUUCUGCUCGGCUAAACCAACCCCCCAUUUUACUAGGAGAAGAGAGGAUUAGCUGUAUUUAGAUGAAAAGAAAAUUACCAGUGGUUUCUUAAGAAACACAGUUUAGGUACUGCAUAAAUAAGAUUAAUCAAACCAUCUAUAAUGUUCAUUGUCAUGUAAAAUUGAGAUCAUUAAAGGUUAGGACUUCAGACUGAAGAAAGUAUUUGAUAAAGCUUUAACCAUAAUAUUCUUGAACAAUCUUCAUUUGCUUACUGUCCUGAUAAGAUUUAUCACUCACGAGCUAAUCGAGAUAAAAAUGUUAUGCAUGCAUUUGUUUGCGACAUCAGAAAUAUGAAAAGGAAAAAAAGAAGGAAGUAAUGCAUUACCAUGUACCUAACUUUAACAUAAUUGGCAGGUGACUGCCGAUAACCUGCAGGAAAUAAGUCUUUAAGAGAAGAAUCCAGUAAAAUCUUACUUUUACUGAAGAUGUAUACUUAAGGAGGAUAAUCGCUUAAGACAGACCUAUAGGAUGCAUACCUCAAAUCAAACAUCAUAAUUAGCUACAAGGCACAUCUAACAGACAUGCUGCUGUGAGCUUGGCUGCAAAACUUAAGGUACUAUGGGGAAGAUUGAUCCCAGUAUGAUCACCUAGAAGGUAUAAUAUAGUUUCAAUUAGGACUUAUCUUUCUGAUUAAAAGAAAAAUAUGCAGAUCAGAAUUUUAUGUUCCACAUUACUAGGAAAGGAAAUUAGUUGUAUCAUAAAUGAUAACAUCUAUAUAGAAGGUAUGAUCCUUAAGCAUAAAUGAGUACCCAUCUUGCAUUUCAAGCUCUCCCAAUUCCCAGAAAUGGAAGAACAAAAAUAAAAUUCAUUUUUUAGAUCUAACGAGUAUCUGGCUCACACCAGCAAUAUGGCUAAUGUUUGAAGAGAUUUCUCACCAGUAAUCUAAAGUUCUAAACACAUCAACAAACUCUAUAAUUCAACAAAUUCGUGUCAUCCCUGCUAGUACUAACUACUACUCAUCAUAUCCACUCUAAUGUUAGAUAAGAUCAUUUGGUAUUAUGAGAUCAACAUCUUCAACAGCCCUAAACUAAGUAGAUAUAAGCCCUAAACUUCCACCACAUAAAGGAGAUAAUAAAAAGUAGGCAAUAAAAUGCAAAAAAGAUAUAAGCCCUUGAGAUAUUGUCUUGAAAGGAUGUGAAACUUGCCACUAUAAAAGCUUUUAACAAAAAAAUGAUCCUAAAAUCAAAAGCUAUAAGCUAUCAAAUUUACCCUAACUGCAGAUUCAUUGCCAACCUUGGAUGCUGAUGAAUUGAACUAUUAGCAACCUUGAGAUGCUCUACACAUAAAGGAUACACUAAGCGGUAAUUCUAACUUGCAAUGACUAGCAUACUGGCCAUGGAUGCUAAAGAUUUCAGUUUAAACCAGAACCAAAAUCUAUGCAUAUAAUAUAGCAACAAAGAACAUGAUAGGUGGGCUCACCCCAAAUUCACUUCCUAGUUCUAUACCUCAUAAUGAUGUAUUUUCACUCUGUAUACAAACUCACUUCUUAGUUCUUACUAUACCUCAUAAUGGUGUGUUUUCACUCUCUAUACAAAUUUAGACUACAUGUAUCUACAUGACCCUUUUAUCCAAAGAAACCAAAUAUUUUAACUUUCAAAACCUCUGCUGUGGUAGGUUAAGUACAAAAUUGCUUCAGCAAGUUCCCAGACAAGAGGAUGCCUUGCACAUAAAAGGUUAGUGAAGGGCACAUUAGAAAAAAACCUUUUAUGACAACUUAAAAAACCAAAAAUGCCCUUUUUUAUUUCGGACUCCAAGGGUGAUAAACCAUCUUGCGCAGCCAAUUUCGUACAGAGACCAAAUAAAGAGAAUUCAAAUAGCUUACAUCCCCAAAAUCAAAUUCGUAGGGAAGAUAAAAGGCUAUCACCCUAAAUACGGUUUAAAUAUUUAGCAGCUCAGAUUCUUAUUUAACUCAAGUUGCUGCCUUUUCUAUAUAUAUUAAUAAACAAACUCCAGUGUACUUCUUUACAUAGUUGGUUAUAAUUUUGAUCGGUCAUAUAUGAUUGAUGUUUUUGACACAGAAAGCUAUACAUUCGCUUCGUAUAUUUUCUUUGUUGUUUUAAAUCUAACAAAUUUGUUUAUACAAGUGAGAAAAUGAAGUAAUAGAAUAAUCAGUAAGAUUUCCCAACCGUUCAAGAUAGUACAGUUGACGAUUCGAUAUUUCAUAUAUCUCAAGCAGAAACAAGAAUUAAGCAGCAGAAAAAAAUUACAUUGAACAUAGGCAUAAGCAUAAACAAGAAGGCACCAAAUGACCUUUGAAAAGAACUUUUGAGCAUGACUCCUGAUCUGCACAGCUGUCUUUGUUCCUAUAUAUUCUGCAAAUCACCAUGUAAAAACAAAAUGGAAAGAAAAAUACAACAAUAAAUAACAAAACUAUUCAGUUGUUGGUCCUAACAAACAUAUCCUACGAAUCUUAGCCUCAAUCCACAAAAACACUAGCUCUAAAAUGAUAGCAGCAAAAUCUAAACUAAGAGGGAAAAAGCAAGUGAAAAAACCUUCAAUGCGUUGCCAAGCUCGUCCAUAGAGCUUCAAGGCCUCUAGAAACCUAUUAUGCUCUUCCUCGCUCCAUCUUUCACGUUGUUUCGUAAUAGUAUAAGGCUUCCUAGUCUAUCAUUUAACAUACAAAAUUCAAUGGUCCAAAUUAUAACAAACACAAACCCCCAUUUUUUUACAAAGCUUCAUUUAAGAGAAGAGUUUACCUUAAUAACUAGUUCUUCACCAGAGGAGUAUGUGUCCAUUGAAACAGCGUCACCGCUGCUUCAAAUCCUCUCUAACAAGCAAAGAGUAUAUCACAAACCUCCUUUCAUUUCUUCCAACAUCCAAUACGACAAAUAGUAAUGCCGUUUUUGAGCUCCACAAAACCUGAUGAAUGCUAUUUAAUACUGCAAAAAGAAAAAACACAAAAGAACAACAACAACAAAUCGAUGGAGAUCCGUCUCUGUUUGUAUUUUUAUUCCAAUUAAAUUAAUAUUAAUUUCUCAUCAUUUAAUAAAAAUAUUUACUUAAUAAAAAUUUGGGGUGAAUGCUAAAUCUCUGGAAAAAUUAAAAUAAAAUAAAUAAAAAUUAAGUAUCCACCGUAACAAAGAGAAGAGACGGCUUCUUCCAAAGAACUUAAAAGAAAAUUCUCACCAAAACGAACCCGUAGACGCCAAAACCUUUAAUAGAAAAUGAUACGAAAAAAAAAAAGAAACUUUAAUUAGUAAUCAACAACACACUUCCACUGUUCCACAUCCAAUCUAUCUAUUGACAGCCAAUAAUAAUUCUUCACCUUCUGUUUGGUCGCCGAGAAAAAAAACAAAAGGAUUCAAAUUCAAUCACUUUUCUUUCGUUACUCUACUCAGCUGCAUAUAAAGAACACAACUUCCAAACUCAGCUUAGCAAAGCCUUUAAGGAAGGCCCUAGAAAUGAAGUGUAAAUACCUUAAAGAGAUAACCAUGGAAGAUGACAACAAUGGAAGCAACGAUCACGUAUCAAAAAUGGGUUCACCGGAAACCAGCCGGAGAGCUCAUAGUUUCCGGCAAUGACAAGAUCGGAAUCAACAGAAUUGGAAAAAUUAAAAGUAGUCUUUUUUGGGAGAAAAGAACUUGAAUAAACCCAAAAAAAAAAAGUGAAAGCAAGCUUAUUUUCUGGUGAUAAACUGAAAAAACACCAGAAACUACAGUAUGGGGAAGAAACAAAAGGAGAAAUCUCAGCCACUACAAUUUCAUGAGGAUUUUUUUUUUGGAAAAUUACAAAAAUUGGGCAGAAAAUUAUGUGAGGCUAUAAAAGAAUGAACGGUAAGAUACAUUAGAUGUUGCCAAGUGGCAAUAAUUUAGUGGCUGAUUCAACUAAAAGCCCACCGUUGCACUUUUUCCCUUAUUUUUUUGAUCUUUUUUUCUUUUUGCCCUUCUUGUUUCCUACCUUCAUCUUCAAAUAUCAGCCACAAGCUCCCAAUGGUCUUGGUGUUAAAUUAGUAAAAGCGCCAUUUGGUAUACCACAUGGUUCCUGCCGUCAACGUUUACGCAAUUCGUUGGCGUGGGCAACCGGUACGUGUCGGUUACAGGGGUAGCUUUGGUGUUAAAAGCACCGGAUUUGUGACCAUUAGCCACCGUAUGAGGUGAUGAGAUUUUAGGGUUGCAACAAAUCUAGGGAUAUGCUAUGCUCCCUUCCAUAAGUACUUGUAUUUUUUAUAGAUUUGAAAUUUAGUUCCUGUACUUUUAUUUUUAGGAAUUUAGUCAUUUUACUUUUCAAAUUUUUAAAUUCAGGUUUUACUGUUAACAUUGUUAAAAUUAUUUGUUAAAUUCAAGUUCAUUAUAAUAUUAUUUUUUUAGUUAAGUUGCUACCAAGUGAAUUUUUUUUUAUUUCAAUAUGUAAUAUAAGCCAAUUUAACGAAAAAAAUUAUAACAAUGUUAACAAUUGAACCUAAAUUUUGAAAUAUAGAAAGUAAAGAGACUAAAUUUUAAAUUUACAAAGAGUACAGGGACAUGACAUAUUUUAACCUUUUUUAUUAAACUUGUGAGUUACAACUUAAUUCCUAAAUUUGAAUUUCAUUAGAGUAUAUUAGCGUGUCGCUCUAAUAUUAGGUCACAUUGUCAUUUGAAAAUUUUAAAAAUUUUAUAUGAUAUCUAAAGAAUGCAAAAGGAAAAAAUUAAAGAAAUUCAUGUGGCGAUGGGAGAUAAUCUUAUAAUGUCACAUUAUUAUACUUUAACAAGAUCUAAGAUAAGAAACCAAAUUGAGAAAAACUAUCAAGCUUAAAGACUAAUGUGGAUAAAAAAAAAGUUGAAGGAUCAAGAUGAAAAUUUUAUCAAAUUUAAGAUCUAAAUGUUGCUUUAUGAUUAUUUUUUUUUAUCUUUUUAAGAUAAGAGUAAACUCCAUCAAUAUUCUCUAAACUUCAUUUAAAAAAAUGAUGUAUCAUGUUUUGCCAUUAAUAAUAAUCAGACUAAGCUCAUUUUAAAACAACGCCCCUAUUUAUUGUAAUGAUAUAGCAUUAUUCUUAUUCAAGUGCCUUGAUGUCCUCCGCUAAUGGUUGGAGCCUCCAAUCGAUGGACCUUACAUCCUGCUCAAAACUCUUGCAUAAAGCUUUCAUGUUAGGUGCAAAGAUACCAAUAGUGAAUCCAAACCUCUUUGCCUCAAUCAUUGCUUCUCUUAUUACGAAUAAAAUAGCUUGCUUAGUGGUAACCUCAUGUAAUGUGCUACAAAAACUUGUAAAUUUUAUUCAUUGAAUAUUAAAGAUUGUUAGAGACACUCCGAGGAAGAUAGUCCCUUUCUUCCAAGCUACCAAAGCAAUUCCCGAUAUAGUACCAUGAGGAACAUUCGAUCUAAUUGAUUUGCUCUGUUGUAUUCGAAAAUACCUCUCCGUAGCAUUCUUCCAUUUCUUGUCCUCAAACACCUAUAUUUCAUAGUCCUUGAAGAUUUCAAACCCUGUUGAUUACACUUAAGGAUUAACAUCAUAUCCUUUAAAAUAAUAUUCAUUUAUAUGAAUCCGUAUAUUCUAUAAGAUGCAAAUAAUCACUUAAUGCGUAUCAUCUAUUAAUAAAAGAGAAAAAUUGAUGUUGAUUGUAACACCCCUAACCCGUAUCCGCUGCCAGAACAGGGUUUCAGAGCAUUACUACCAUUUACAGAUCACUAAAAAAAAUUUAAAUACUUACCGAUUCAAUGCAUCAUAUAAAUAAAUAUAUUACCAUUCAAUCAACAGUUUGACACUUGUAUAAGCAUCAAACAACAACAUUGUUAGUAUACUUGCACAUAUCUCAUAUAAAGUCAACAUUGAUAUAUCUAUUUUCUCGACAUAUCGCACUUGAGUUUAAUAAUAGUCUCAACUUACAUAAUUUCCUUGUAUCAACAUAUCAAAGAUAAUCAUAUAUGUACAUGUCAUGAAACAUAUCAUGCUCUUACCGUUUCUUCAUAAGCAUAUAUCAUUCAUUUCAUUAUAUCAAUAUUUCAUACUCCAUCAUUUCCAUAUAUUUUAUGUAUAUUUAUUCCGGUAAUAGCUUAUAUCAAACUUAACAUAAAUUAUAUUCCAUGUACUUAUACUUAUUUCGUUUAUCUAUCUUCAUAAUUAUUUCAUAUAACCAUUCGUCAUCUGAUACAUAUUACCUGAAUAUCAAUUGUUCAACAGAUGUUAGAGCGUCUCCCAUCCACGGUCUUAUUUAUCUUUGACAUGAUGCCAUAGUGUCUUUCAACUAUGGUCUUACUCAUUUUCUGUCAUGUUGCCAUGGUAUCUUUCAACCAUGGUCUUGUUCAUUUCAUAUCACGUUGCCAUGGUAUCUUUCAACCAUGGCCUUACACAUUUCAUAUCUGGUUGCCAUGGUAUCUUUCAACCAUGGCCUUACACAUUUCAUAUCAGGCUGCCAUGGUAUCUUUCAACCAUGGCCUUACACAUUUCAUAUCAGGUUGCCAUGGUAUCUUUCAACCAUGGUCUUACACAUUUCAUAUCAGGCUGCCAUGGUAUCUUUCAACCAUGGUUUUACACAUUUCAUAUCAGAGAGCACACUCCCGCGAACCUCAUCCUUACAGUGGGAUUACCAGUCCAGGCUAAAUCCCUUGUAAUAUAAACUCAUAGAGUAUUGUCGGGAUUACCAGUCCAGGCUAAAUCCCCUGCAACGACAAUUACUCUAAUGAGCUUGGAUCUGAAUUACCAGUCCAGGCUAAAUUCAGACCCUAAUUCGGAUUACCCGUCCGGGCUAAAUCCAUUUUACACGUAUUCUUCGGGAGGGCUAUAUCAAGAUAGGAUCACCCGUCUGGGCUAGAUCCUUUUUACCGUCAAUUCCUUUUCAGAGAUCCAUCGAAUUUUCCUUUCAUUCAACCGAGAUUUCUUCCCAUUUUAUCAAAUAUAUCAAUGUUUCAUAAAUUUUCAUACAAUGAACAUUCAAAUCAUAUUCACAUCAAUAACAUACAAUCUCAAGUAUUUAAGAAUAUAAUUCAAGUUACACGAACUUACCUCAUUGCUUGUUUGUGUUUAUAAUUUCAUUAAUCCGAUAUCUUUUCUUUUCCACAAUCAAGUCUCAUAUUUGAGUCGUCCGGAUCUUUAUAAAUAAAUUUGAUCAUCAUUUUCAUUCAUUUCAUCUUCUAAUGCAUUUAAUUAAUGCUCUAGGCAAGAUUACCAUUUUGCCCCUAAACUUUUAAUUAAUGACAAUUUCGUCCUUAGGGUCAAGAAAAUAAAAUUCUUGCAAUUUAAUCCUUAUUUCCAGCUAUUAUUCUCAUAUAUAUUGAUAACAGUCCAUGGAUUCUAUAAAAUAUCAUAAUUUUCCAUAAUUUCAACACUUUUCAAUUUAAUCCCUAAAACAUGUUUUCCCCCGAUCUUGAACUAAAUUAAUAAUUUCAUUCAAUUUUGUAAUUUAAAUAAUAAAAUAAUCCAUUUCAUGCAAUUUGGUUAUUUUUGACAUUUUUACAAAAUUACCCAUAAAGUUUUACUUUUAUUCAAUUUAGUCCCUAAGCCUAAAAUAUGCAAAUUAACCAUGCUUAAUGAAUAUUCAUAUAUUUUUUCCUCCUCCUCCUCUCCAUUCCACAUACUUGAUGUAUGUAGCACACUUGUAAGUAACAUUAUCUAAAUCUUUAUUAUUUACUUUUAUGAAUAUUCAAGCUGUCCAUCUGUGUCAUAGUCACUAAAUUAUUUAUAUCUGGAUCUAUAGGACUCCAAAUUAAUAUCCGCUAAUUUUCCCUGAAACUAGACUCAUAUAUCUUCUUACCAUAAAAUUUUCAGAAUUUUUGGUUUAGUCAAUAAGUACAGUUUAUUCUUUAAAUUUACCCCUAUUCUGCUGUCUGACAGUUGUGACCCUUCUUCACUAAAAAUUAAUUAUCUCCUUGUACAGAAUUCGAAUGAUGUUCAUAUUUGUUUCUAUUGAAAAUAGACUCAUUCAGGAUUAUAAACAUAUAAAUUUAAUCCCCUAAUUAUUUUUAUCCAAUUUUUUUAUGAUUUUACAAAUUCAGAAUAGGGGAACCCGAAAUCAUUCUGACCUUGUCUCACAAAAUUCAUCAUAUUUCAUGAUUUAGAAUUCCAUUGCUUACAUAAUUUCUUCUAUAAGAAACUAGACUUAAUAAGAUUUAAUUUAAUAUUUUAUUCAUCCUAUAAUUAGAUUUCUACAAUUUUUGAUGAUUUUUCAAAGUUAGACUACUGCUGCUGUCCAAAACUGUUUUAGUACAAGAUAUUAAUUACCAUGUUAUAACAUCCUUAUUUUCUUUUUCUACACCAUUGCUCAUCACUUUCUCUUAUUUUUUCUUCACUAACAUAUCAAGAACAUAGGACCUUAUGUAAGAAAACUCUACUAUAACAUUAUUUCCAUGCUUUAUCAAUAAUAACAAACUUAAAAACAUAUUGAAAUCUUGAUGUACUUACCUUUUCUUAUUGACUUCAAUCUUUAACUUGAUUUUUCUCUCUCCUCCAGCUUCGAUUUCUUGAAUCCAACUUGAUAUUCUUGCUCCCCAUCAUCUCCUUGCUAUCUUUCUCUCUUGAUGGCUAUGGAAAUUCUUUCAAUUUUUAGGUGAAAAUAAUGAAUUUUUGGUGGAAGGACUAAAUUGUAAAGAAAGCAAACUUCUUUUCUUCUUCUUAUCUUGCGUUAGUUUGCAUGGGAAAGGAAAUGUGUUGAUAAUUCUUCAUCUUUCCUUCCUUUUAUACUAAAUAAAUAAUAAUAUAAUAAUAAUAAACAUCUCAUAAAAUAUUAAUAAAAUAAUAUUUAUCUAAUUAAUUAAUUUAAAAUAUCAUCAACAUAAUCAUUACAUUCUAGAAUUCUCUCUCUUAAUUAAUUGACCAUUUUGCCCUUCAUGAUCUUUUAGAAUUCCAUCCUUGAGUCAUCACUUAAUUUGGUAAAAUUACGAUUUAGUCCCUCAUAAUUUUUUUACCUAUUCAAUUUGGUCCUAAUUCAUCAAUUUUUCUUGGUUUCUAGAUCAUUCCACCCUUAAAAUAUUUGCACCAUUAGUCCUUCAAUUUUUUAUAUUUACACUUCAACCCCUUAAAUUUUGAGUAUUUACUCUUGUGCAACAAGACUUUUCUCAUCUUUGCAAUUUAGUCCUUUCUUGAAUUAAUAUAUCAUAAUAUACUUCUCAAUAUUGACAUCACUCAAAAACUCCCUUUUGGUCACUUUAUUUCCUUAUUUUACUAUAUCACGGAUAAUAUUUUACUGUAAAAAUUUUCGGGGUAUUAUAUUGAUGCAUUUCCUCCUUAAUAUAACAUGCAAGAUAAAACUCUGAAUAUCACAAUUAUUAACUUCAGUCGGCUUAAAACCUAAAAUCAAUUCCAACCAAACUACUCUAACUAAGAAGAGAUGAUCAUAGGAUUCCAUAUAUUAGCCACAAAAGCUACAAGUUGUAUCAAAACAAUUAAUUCUUCUACCUAUUUCCUCUUUUAAAGGCAAAACUUUGACACAUAUUUUUUAUAGAAAUAGUAAUUCAAAAGAUUAAUAAUUAAUUUGAACUAUCAUUUUAAUAUUUUUAAAAUUUUUUUAAUUAUUUUAAAAAUUACUUAAAAAUUAUUAAAAUUUUAACCUAAUCCUUUAAACCGGAGCUUUUGGGUUUUACUUUUUUUUUUUUAAAACUUAAUCCUUUGAUGUUUUUCUUAUUCUUUUUAAAUCACACCAAACUGUUAUUUUAGCGUAUACCAAUGAUUAAAGUAUACAAAUUCUCAAAAUUAGAACAGUUAUUUUUAUAAUAAAAUUAUUAAAAUAUAAAAAUAACUCAAUAUUGAAUCAGUUAUUUUUCAAUUUAACAGAUAUUAUUAUGGAAAAAAAAGCUGGGUUUUAAUUAAGAGAACCCAAAACCCCAAUCUUUAAAUUCUACUGAUUUAAUCAAAUUAGCAAAAGUUAAAAAAAAAAAAAAACGACAGUUAGACUACAAGGGAAAAACCAAAAGAGAAAAAAAUUUAUUUUCGUUCUUUUAAUGAUUUUUAUAAUUUUUAAUUAUUUUUAAGAUUUAAAAAAUUGAAAAUAUCAAAAUGAUAUUUUUAACUAUAAUUUAAUAAACAAAUUAAUUAUUAAUCCUUUAAAUUAAGUAUCAUGUUGUUCCCUAACAGAAAUUAACGGACGAAUAAUUAAAAUAUAAUAUUUAAAUAAUAUUAAUAAUCAUUUCGUAUCUUUUAAAAAUUCAAUCAUUCAAUUAAAUAAAAUUAAAUAUUCAAUCGUUACACAAAUUACUAGAGCCAUUGAAAUAAACCAAAAACGGUUCUUAAUUUGUCUACAAAGUCAACACUCUAUCCUAUACACUCACAUGAAUAAAAUUUCAAUUCGGUCAGCCCCUUAAUUAUUAGAUUUAUUCAUGUUAUGCUAAUUAUUCAUUAUCAUCCAAUUCAUACAUUAAUUUGCCUUAAUUAUCCUAAAUUAACAUAGUUAACAAUUAAUCAAGAGGGAAAACAGUUCAUUUGAGUACUCACUAUUUAAUAAUUUCCAGCCAAUAAUGAAAUCAAGUCCUUGAUAUAAUUACACUCAAAUCCCUCUAAACUUCUAUUACUUUUUAAAGUAGUCCCCACCAAUUCACAUUUGUAUCCCUCCACUUUAAGCAUUUAUGUACUAGAUAAUCCCCACUUCAGUUUUCCUACUAUUUUCUCUUAAAUUACACCAUCUCAAUUUACUUAUUUCAUCAUAAAUAUUUAAGUUCACUGUUUAUCUCGAAAUUUACUAUCCGGAUGAUACCAUUUCGUGGUCUAAAUUUUGAAUAGUUUAAAUAUUAUAAAUUUUAAAAAAAAUCUCAAUAAAUUUUGAUAUUGAAUAAAUUGUUCUUCUAAAAAAAUCAAAUCAAUUUAAUCCCUGACAAGUUUAAAAUAAACACUUAAGACAAUUAAUCACACUGUAAUUAUUUUUCAUGAUAUAUAUAUUAUUAAUACAAUUACAAAUUUAACCCACAACAUUUAUAUAUUCUAUCAAUCCAAUUUAGAUGUAAUUAAUUUAAUCCACAAAUUUUUCUCAUUGUCAACAUUUAUGUAGAAUAUAUAAACAUUAAAAAUUAAAUUUAUUAUUAUACUAAUAAAAAUUAUAUAUAUAAUUGACGGAAAAACAUCACUAUUAUAACCAAUUAUCAUUAGUUGCUAUUUUUUAAAUCUACAAACAUCAAUUACUCCAAUUUUGAGAAAAAUUUAAAACCGACUAGAGUAACCAAAAACAAACUUUACUACCGGACAUCCAGAGAAAAUAUCCAUAGUAGAUGUAGAUCAACUAUAUGCUACGGAAUUAAUUUCAAAAAAGUUCUAUGCUGGAGAGAUGUCGGUACCAUUUGUAUCUUCGUCUUCAAAAUCUUGAAAAAUAUGUUAUUAUUGUUUUGGGAAAUAUGUUUUCCUGAACUAAAGUAAAUUGGAAAAUAUUUAGUGCAUUGGUAAUUUUUAAAUAUUAUUUUUGGAAUAAAAAAUUAUAUUCUCAAUGUAUUAUAUACUAAUUCAAAUAAAUUUUAGUUAAAAAUGAUGAUAAACUAAUUUUUAAUAAAAGUAAUAUUAAGUACUAAACAAUUAAAUACAUCAAAAGUAACAUGUUUAUUGUAUAUAAAAGUGAAUAAAAUAUAUACAAAACAUAAAUAAUAUGAAAAUAUAUUAUUUAAUUUUAAUAUUGACAACACUACUUAUCAGAUAUAUGUAUACAUUUGCAAAGCUUCCGAAAACAAAAAACCACAAUACAAAAACAAUGAGUCAAUUGGUAACUAAACACUAAAGCAAACAGACAAGGCUUGGAAGGAAAAAAAAGAGUAGAUAUACUUUUUGGUUCUCUUAUGACUUUAUUAUUUAGAUUGGUACUUAAUAAAAGAGUCGACUUCUUGGGGCAGCCAACUCAAACUCUCAACAAUUGAAAAUAUUGUAUUGACAUUAAGGUUUUGUCUAGCUUCCAUAGAAAGUCAUGUACAGUUCACAAGAAAAGUACUUUAAUUAAUGGAAAUAGAUAUCUACAAAACUCGGAAAAAAUAUCAAUAUAAAGUGUGCAAAUAAUAAUGAAAAUACUUAGGUACCCCACAACUUAAGACACCAAGGUACCUCCAUUAUUAUUCACCCACCUAUACUCUCACUUCUCCCGAGUCUUGCAGGUGACUAUUUCCACCAACUGAGGUACCCCUUGAUAAAUCGUACAUGACUCUCCAUAAAAGUUAAGGACAAAACCUCGACACAAGGAUAAAACCUUCAAUUAUAGAGACCGAAUCAACUACCCGACAAACGACAUUCCAAGUAGGAGCCAAUCCCCCCUCAAUAGUACCUAAUUUCUUUAUAUAUUUUUUUCAGACUAAAAUUUGAUUUCCACCACACAUGUUAGCCCAUUUUUGAACCUUCGUUAAUCUUGAUUUAACCACAUGGGACACAUCAUGUCAUCAACUAUGUACCUACCAUGUGUAGUAAAUUUAUUGGACCACAUAAUCCAAUUUUAAAAGAGUUACAAAAAAUUGACUAAAACCUGUAAGAAAAGCCAAAUUCGAGUACCAAUCUGAACAAAAAAUAUAUAUGUACCAAUUUAUACAUCAAAACCAAACGUACCAAAAAAUAUAUCUACCUAGAAAAAACUAAGCAUAAAAACAGUUGAACUAUGAACUCAGUGGGGCAAUCUGUUUAAAUUGCCUUUUCAUGCAUAAUAAAGGUUUCAGCUUCAGCUAGAGUUCACUAAGCAAAAGGUAUAAGAAUAAUGAUAAAGACAAAGGCAUUCAGAUUCAAUACUUCCUUUAAAUGCUUCUAUCUCAGAGGGAGUUUUUUAACUGCAGUAGCAAGCAUAAAAAAGUCCAGGAAAGCGAAUAAGUCAAUGUAGAUAUUAGAUAGUACACAACACCACCUACACGAAAAGUCUCGUGAGCUGCAAUCGAAUAAAAGUCUUUUAAGAUCAACAUAUGAAAAGGAAAUAAGAUAUGGGGGAAGAACAUUAGAGAUUGCAUUCAACAAACAAACUUUGCCUUUGUUAAUUGUAUGCAAUUGUGUAAAAGUCAAGUUGACGGUUCCCCUUCCAAGCGUACCCUCUUGGGACAUUUCUCUUCACCUUGACUGCCAGUGUUCAUCACUCUGUUUUCUUUGGCUUCCACAGAACACCUUUUGUAAGGUUUAAAUCCAGUUCGGCCAGCUUUUAGUUUUGAAUGUCCUAAUCCAAUAGUCAGCAGGCCCUCUUCUGUACUGUUCUUGUCUCUUGAUAAUGCAUUUUUCACAGUUUCUUGAUGAUCAGAACAAGAACCCCAUGUAUUGCUGUUGAGAUCUAAAGUUGAUAUUUCUUCGUCUUCCUCAGCUGGAUUUUGCUUGUCUUCACCUAUAUUUUCCUUUUGCUGCCCCUUGCUCUUGCCGUCAUGUGGAGGAGAAAAGCUUUGUGGGAGUACCUCCCGGGAGAAGAGGGCUUGAAAAGCUAGCCGCCCCUGAAUAAGUAGUGGAGCCAUACAGUGGCAAUUGUACAAAACAAUUAGAAUAAUAAUUAAAGUUGGGCUAUAUGGGAAAAUUGACAUAUCGACUCACCUCUUCAGAUACCUCCUUCCAAGAAUCACUCAGGUUGCUAUUGCUUCUACUACUACGACGGUAACAUUCAACUUGUGGAUGAUUGGGGUCAGCUCCUUUUGAAUCUUCCUUGUCUUUUUCAUGUUUUUCUAACGCAUCUGUCUCUACCUCACUGCUUGAAGGAGUGUUGGAGCCACAUGAGGACCGGUCAACUUGUUUUUUGUUCUUUGUUUUAUUUGCAUCCUGAGGCUCAAUUACUUCAGCAGCCGUCUCAUCAUCGGUAGCUUUCACUCCAGUAUUCACUUUUGCAUCUCCUCUCUCUUCACAGUCCGACGAUGAUGAAGUAGGUGAUUUAGAUGAUGAAUGCUGACCUUGCAAAGCUUCAGAGUUCUCAGGGUCUAGUUGCUCAACCUGCAGAGAUAGAGCUUGAUCAGUUUUACCCUUUUGUUCUGUCUUGGCAGCUGGAGGUUGACCAUUCUCCAUUGGUGGAACUGCAGCAGUGGAUGCAGGAAAACAGGUAAAGCCUGUAUGCAGAGGAGCACAUACAGGAAACAGUCCAUGGGCGGCCCACCAUGCAGUGGCAGCUGCUACAGUUGCAGCAGCGAUUGCAGCCAUUCUUGGAGCAGAGUUCAUUUGUCUAGAUGGGAAACCUCCUAAGCCGCCUGCAGGAGAAUCGCCAGAGCUUUCAAUAUUCGCAUAAGGCCAAAAUCUUGCUGCAAAGCUUGCUGCAGCAUGGGCAGCUGGAUUCUGUAACAAAGUAGAUACAAUGAGACUGGAAAAAGUGGAGGAGACAUGUAGAAAUGAUCGAUAGUCCUCUUGAUUUGGGCGAAGAUGCAUAAAGGGAGUAUGAAAAGGUGGCAGUGCCUGCUGAGUUGAUCUCGGAGCAUUAUUCUGAUGUUCAGUAGUUGCAGAUGCAGCUAGAUUUGCGGACAG